UCCCUAUUGCGCAGAAGCUUCAUCGGAAGGUGGAGUGGAGCGAUGGGAGUGAGAAUGUUGGCAUGAGUAACCGCAAGGAGGGUGAAAGCCCCUCCCACCGAAAACCCGAGGUUUCCUUGGCAAUGGUGAUCACCCAAGGGUUAGGCGGGCCUAACCGGAUAUCCGAACGGAUAUUCGGGAUGGACAGCCGGUUAAUAUUCCGGCCCCUCGCCAAAUGCUUUCUUGGAUAACGGAGAAUAGUAGCCUGGGCGGAUUAUUGGAUUUCUGUUCGUUCUGUAAGUUCUCCUUCGGGAGCGCAAGCAGCGCGAAGACUGCUUCCUUCGGGAGGCGGAAUCCAGGUGAGCAUUCUUCCCAGAAAAUCUCCAAGAAUAUGAGUUUGGUGAGUCCGUACCGCAAACCGACACAGGUGGGUAGGCAUAAACGUGCCUAGGUGAACGAGUGAAAGCUCCUGAAGGAACUCGGCAAAUUAGUGGUCGUACCUUCGGAAUAAGACCCGCCCAUCGCAAGAUGGGCCGCAGCAAACGAUUUCCCGGCGACUGUUUACCAAAAACACAGGUCUCUGCUAACUCGUAAGAGGAUGUAUAGAGGCUGACGCCUGACCAGUGCUGGAGUGUUAAGCUUGCCGGUUUCAUGCGGCUUGCCGUGUGUUGCUGAGUGAGUGAAGCCCCAGUGAACGUCCGCGGUAACUAUAACCGUGUUAAAGUAGCGUAUUCCCUUGCCUGGUAAAUUCAGGCCCGCAUGAAUGGCGUCACGACCGGGGAACUGUCUCCAGGAGCAGCUCGGUGAAAAUGCAAUGGGGGUAAAGAUGCCCCCUACCUGCGGCUAGACGGAAAGACCCCGGGAGCUUUACUAUAUCUUCUUAUUGUCUUGUUUGCUUUUCUGCGUAGCGUAGCGGGGAGACUUUGAAGUUCGCCUUUCGGGGCGAAUGGAGUCGCCAAUGAAACACCCGUCUGGAUUGUGGGUAAGACUAACCUCGUAAAACGGGGGACAGUGAGUGGUUGGUAGUUUAGGUGGGGUGCUUGCCUCCUAAAAAGUAGCGGAGGCGUUUAAAGGUUGGCUAGCUCCGGAUGGAAAUCGGAGUGAUAGUGUAAAGGCAAAAGCCAGCUUUACUGCGAGACGGAUAUGUCGAGCAGUUGGGAAACCAGAACUUAGUGAACCGACGUGUUCUUGUGGGACACGCGGAGAUCAUCAGAUAAAAGCUACCCCGGGGAUAACAGGCUAGUAGGGCCCGCGAGUCCAUAUCUACGGCCCUGUUCGGCACCUUAACCAUAAGUUAUAAAUUUAUAAUCGGGGUGCUAUGGCAGUAAUGUCAUACCUGUUCUUCGAGAGAAAUAGAGAUUCGAAGAAAAACAAAAAUCGGCUUAUAACGGUGAACUCCAUAUGGUAUAAUGUACCCAUAUCUAUGGACAAUGCCGUGGGAAGCUUAACUCAAUUACAGACAUCUACAAUUCUCGGUUCGAUCCUUGGUGAUGGAUACCUCCGGAUCAUGCCGGGAAGAAAGGAUGCUUUUCUGGAAGUAAAUCAUAUGUUUCGGGCAAAAGAGUAUGUUGAUUGGAAAUUCAGCAUACUGCGAAGUAUCUGUGUUUCGGGACCAAAGAUGCGAAAUGGAAACGGCCAAAGAGUCGCAUACCGUUUUUAUACCCGCCAACAUCCGGAAAUAACCGAAUUAUACCGGCGAUUUUAUCGCAAUGGCAAAAAAGUUAUUCCAACAGAACUUCGGCUCGAUCCCCAUGUUGUAAGCAUAUGGUUUAUGGAUGAUGGAAGUAGGUGCAGAGAUUCAGAUAUAUACCUGAAUACGCAACAGUUCGGCAUUGAGGACCAACUUAGACUUAUACGACUUCUUUGUAAAAUAGGAUUAGAGGCAAGGUUGAAUCGCGACAAAGAAUACUAUCGUAUAAGAUUUAUCAAGUCUUCUAUACCGACUCUGAAAAAUUUAAUCGGAGAUCUCCUGAUUCCAUCCAUGAAAUACAAAUUGAUUUAUAGCCCCGUAGAGACUUGUGAACAUUAACAAUAUGUUCCUUAUACAGAGCUAAAAUCUGUAUAACACGCCGACCCCCUUAGUCGCAAAGUGAUUGUGGGGUGAAGAUAUAGUCCGAUCCUUCUGGUAACGGAAGAAAAAUGUCGACAGGCGAUGUCGGCUCAUCACAUCCUGGGGGUGAAGCAGCUCCCAAGGGUUUGGUUGUUCGCCAAUUAAAGUGGUACGUGAGCUGGGUUCAGACCGUCGUGAGACAGGUUGGUCCCUAUCUACCGCAGGCGCUGAGGAUUGAAAGGAGUCGUUCUUAGUACGAGAGGACCGGAACGAACCAACCUCUGGUGUACCAGUUGUUCCGCCCGGAGCAUCGCUGGGUAGCUAAGUUGGGAAGGGAUAAGCGCUGAAGGCAUAUAAGCGCGAAGCCUACCUUAAGAUUAAUCCUCAAAGACCCCUCGAAGAAGACGAGGUUGAUAGGCUCUAAGUGGAAGCUCGGCAACGAGUUAAGCUGAGGAGUACUAAUGGUCUUUGCAAUGUACUU
rnacentral:rRNA from 1 species